AACUUUCAACAACGGAUCUCUUGGUUCUGGCAUCGAUGAAGAACGCAGCGAAAUGCGAUAAGUAAUGUGAAUUGCAGAAUUCCGUGAAUCAUCGAAUCUUUGAACGCACAUUGCGCCCUCUGGUAUUCCGGGGGGCAUGCCUGUUCGAGCGUCAUUGCAAACCCCUCAAGCACGGCUUGUGUGUUGGGCCACCGUCCCUCUUGUGGACGGGCCUGAAAUGCAGUGGCAGCACCGAGUUUUGGUGUCUCAGUGUAUGGGAAUCUC
rnacentral:rRNA from 1 species